rnacentral:rRNA from 1 species
AACGAACGCUGGCGGCAUGCCUAACACACGCAAGUCGAACGAGACCUUCGGGUCUAGUGGCGCACGGGUGCGUAACGCGUGGGAAUCUGCCCUUGGGUUCGGAAUAACAGUGAGAAAUUACUGCUAAUACCGGAUGAUGACGAAAGUCCAAAGAUUUAUCGCCCAAGGAUGAGCCCGCGUAGGAUUAGCUAGUUGGUAAG